rnacentral:rRNA from 1 species
GACGAACGCUGGCGGCGUGCUUAACACAUGCAAGUCGAACGGAAAGGCCCUGCUUUUGUGGGGUGCUCGAGUGGCGAACGGGUGAGUAACACGUGAGUAACCUGCCCUUGACUUUGGGAUAACUUCAGGAAACUGGGGCUAAUACCGGAUAUGAGCUCCUGCUGCAUGGUGUGGUUUGGAAAGUUUCGGCGGUUGUGGAUGGACUCGCGGCUUAUCAGCUUGUUGGUGGGGUAGUGGCUUACCAGGGCUUUGACGGGUAGCCGGCCUGAGAGGGUGACCGGCCACAUGGGGACUGAGAUACGGCCCAGACUCCUACGGGAGGCAGCAGGGGGGAAUAUGGCACAAUGGGCGGAAGCCUGAUGCAGCAACGCCGCGUGCGGGAUGACGGCCUUCGGGGUGUAAACCGCUUUCGCCUGUGACGAAGCGUGAGUGACGGUAAUGGGUAAAGAAGCACCGGCUAACUACGUG